CCUCCCCCCUCCCGUUUUGCGGCACUCUCGCACUCUCUCUCUCUCUCUCUCUCUCCUUCCUUCCUUCCUCCUCUCCACACCGUGCCAGCAAAGCUGCCUCAGCAUGGAAGAAGCAAUGCGGAAGAAAGCCGCUCAGCGAAACGGGAGUCCUUCAUGGCUCCCACCCAAGGUGAAAAGCAGCCCACCCUCCACGGGAGGGAAGCUUCCUGCUCAGACGGGAAAGCCAUGGGAAAAGAAUUAAGAAUCCCAGGAGCUGAAAGCAGAGCGGGCUUCGGAAAGCAAGCUGUCAUCGAAAGCAGCCUUUACGUUCCCACUUUCCUGAACAGAUCACACUAGAAAAUUCACCCCUGAAAGAGAGCUAUGAGAGAAGAGAAGGGAGCAUCGUAUCAUUUGAGAAUCCGGAUUCUUGGGUUUUACUUGGGAAAACAAAACCAGAACAAGGUUCUAGUCCUUACGAUGGUAGGGAAACUUCUGAAAAGGAGGCUAAAAAAGCAGGAAAGCAACCAACUGAUCUGCACAAGAAGGAAGAAUCUUCAUUCAUAAAUAUUAAUGCCUGCUUCUCACCGGCUCCUGACUGGCUGGGAGAAAGCCGCAGAGACCAGAGGAGCAGCAGCUAUCGUGGAAUCUCAGAUUACAGCGGCACGCUCCUAGGGCUGCUUGCACGGCCUUUAAGAGGCACGUAAAUCUGGAUGCGACCUCGGGACUCCACCCAGGGCCUGGAUCCAGCAUCGCCGACACCUUCUGCCAGGCCUCUGGAAGAGUCAGGCUCCAGAUGUCUCCCUGGAGCUGUUCCUGCCUUGCCCUCUCAACCCCACUGAGACCCGACCAGCCUGGACCCUUCUCAUCCCCACUGCUCCCUAAAGGGAACGAAAGCCCCACAGGAGGGAUGCCCCACCCUUCUCCAGACUGCACAGGGUCACCCAAGCAACCAGGUAACAUGGCAUCCCGACACUCUGUCUCUGGCUGUUUUUUAAGCGAUUCUUGAAAGCACACCUAUUUAUCUGGCUUCUCAUUCAUAAAGUUUUAAAGUUGUAUUGAUGACAACUUUAAUUUGUUUAAAAUGAUUUAAAGUUGUAAGUGUUGUCCAGUUUUUAAUGUGUAAAUUGCCGAGAGAUUUUAUAUGGGGCAGUAUAGAAAUGUAUUCAAUAAAUAAAAUAAAAUAAAAUAAAAUAAUCUUCCCCUAACUAAGCAAAGAGCCACCUUUUUAAAGUCGUUUUCUCUUUAUGUAGCAGGGGGAGAGCAACUGGCCCUAUCCGUCCCCAGCCCAGCAUUCCUCCAAUGGCUGUUGCUGGUGUCUAUUUUAUGUUUCUUUUUUAAGAUUGUGAGUGCAUUGGGGACAGGAAGCCAUCUUUUAUUUACAUCGACGUAAACUGGAACUUAUGUUGAAAAGUGGUAUAUAAAUAUCCAUUGUAUUCAUAUUCGUCAUUUUAAAAAAAAAACAAAAACAAAGAUCUGAGUUCCUGAGCAUAAAAGCAAGGAUCAGCAGAACCAGAGGCAAGGAGGUAGAUGUGCAGAUUGAGGUCCAGAUUCACAGCAGCAGCAGAGGCUCGGGAAGGUAGGUGUGAGGGCCUAGUUGCCUCCGAGGCAGCAGAUCCUGAAAUACCCACCUUCCUUCAAGAGCCCGUCAGCUCUGGUCGCCAGACUGUUGCUGGAGCACCAUCCGAAGCUCUCUGCUUCUUGGUUUGCCUUGUAUCCAGCAUCUCUUUGCCAGGAGCCCCACUCGGAGCUGACCAUGGUCCUGAUCUCCUGUAAUGUAGACAAAGCUCCAAGCCCUGUGUAAAACAUUUGUGUGUCGGCAAAACUCAAGGGAGGAGGAGGGGGAAGUGAUCUCAUGCUAGAAGUGAUCUGGGUAAGAGAUCAAGGUCAAGCCAGCCCACAUCAUAAACCCAGCGUUGUAUUGAGGGCAGAGGGAAAGCACACCUCUUGCCGUCUGACCCAGAUUGUAGCCAGCACAUGAUCACUUCCCCUUCCUUCUACCUCCAUGUUUGCUGCUAACAGCCAUUUCUUGGGAGCAUACACAGGGCUCGGGGCCUGGCUGUAUUCUCCAGGCAAAGCAUGAUCCAAGCUGGCCCCAUCUCUGGCCCCAGACCACACAAAGCUUGACCCACAGGCUAAAAAUGACAACUCACCUAACCACACAGAAGACACACCUGUGUGCUCUAGAACCAAUGGCAAGCAAGGAGGAGAACGUAUUUUAAGGACGUAAAGGAAACUUGCCCAUUUGAUGGGAGGAGAGCUGGUCUUGCGGUAGCAAGAAUUAAUUGACCCCUUUGCUAAGCAGGGUCCAACCUGGUUUGCAUUGGAAUGGGAGACUAUAUGUGUGAGCACUGGAAGAUAUUCCCCUUAGGGGAUGCUGCUUUUUUGGGAAGUGCAUCUGCAUGCUUGCAUGCAGAAGGUCCUAAGUUCCCUCCCUAUAUAAUCUCCAAGUUAGGCCUGAGAGAGACUCCUGCCUGCAACCUUGGAGAAGCCGCUGCCAGUCUGUGUAGACAAUACUGAGCUAGAUGGACCAAGGGUCUGACUCAGUAUAAGGCAGCUUCCUAUGUUCCUAUGAUGCAGGAGACCAUUCCUUUCUGAACGCCAGAGCAUCAGAGGAAGCAUUUCUCCCCAGCUUUCAUUUUAAAAUAAUAACAUUAUUUGUUUAUUGUGGGGUAAUUAACAAAUAAAGUCUAUUUUAUUAUGAUGGUGAUUAUU